rnacentral:rRNA from 1 species
UACGUAGGGUGCAGGCGUUAAUCGGAAUUACUGGGCGUAAAGCGUGCGCAGGCGGUCUUUUAAGUCAGAUGUGAAAUCCCCGGGCUUAACCUGGGAACUGCGUUUGAAACUGGAAGGCUUGAGUGUGGCAGAGGGGGGUGGAAUUCCACGUGUAGCAGUGAAAUGCGUAGAGAUGUGGAGGAACACCGAUGGCGAAGGCAGCCCCCUGGGCUAACACUGACGCUCAUGCACGAAAGCGUGGGGAGCAAACAGG